UCAGCACAUGCAGCAGUUUAUUGCUGCUCUAAGAUCCACUUAGAAUUUCCCUUUUGCAUCCAUGCUAGGCUUAAUCAUCCCCGUCAUGUCCUACCACAUCCAGGGCUAGCAAAGGAAGCAUCAGAGCUAAAUAAAUACGGGAAAGACACUUGUCCUUCAUGCUACAGAAUCCUAAAAUAAUACACCACAACCACCCCCUCCUGCAAACCAUACUGGACCUCCCUGGAUCUAUCCAAGGUGUGUUGCCCUUAUCUGGCAGGAAUCACUUCUAAGCUUUGACUACUUUAUCUCACAGAGAACUGCAGCAUCUCAGCCCUGCGAUACACAUAAGAAUGGGAUAUGCAGACCUCAUACCUACAGUGCAAGCCACCGGAGGACCCAUUCCUGACAAAACCACCACCCAUUCAUUUUAUAGAUUAGGUACUCAACAUCUUGAAGAAAAGUCAUGCUUACAUUAAAGUUUAAGCACAG